rnacentral:rRNA from 1 species
UGAGGAAUAUUGCACAAUGGGCGAAAGCCUGAUGCAGCAACGCCGCGUGAGGGGCGAAGGCCUUCGGGUCGUAAACCUCUUUUCUGGGGGACGAGUAAGGACGGUACUCCAGGAAUAAGUCUCGGCUAACUACGUGCCAGCAGCCGCGGUAAAACGUAGGAGGCGAGCGUUAUCCGGAUUCACUGGGCGUAAAGCGUACGCAGGUGGCUUCGUUAGUCGGACAUGAAAGCUCCUGGCUUAACUGGGAGAGGUUGUUCGAUACUGCGGGGCUUGAGGUUGUGAGAGGGACGUGGAAUUCCCGGUGUAGUGGUGGAAUGCGUAGAUAUCGGGAGGAACACCAGUGGCGCAAGCGGCGUCCUGGCCCACACCUGACGCUGAGGUACGAAAGCGUGGGUAGCAAACAG